CGGACCGGCGCACGGGUGAGUAACGCGUAUCCAACCUGCCCACCACUUGGGGAGUAACCUUGCGAAAGUAAGACUAAUACCCAAUGAUAUCUCUAGAAGACAUCUGAAAGAGAUUAAAGAUUUAUCGGUGAUGGAUGGGGAUGCGUCUGAUUAGCUUGUUGGCGGGGUAACGGCCCACCAAGGCAACGAUCAGUAGGGGUUCUGAGAGGAAGGUCCCCCACAUUGGAACUGAGACACGGUCCAA
rnacentral:rRNA from 1 species